rnacentral:rRNA from 1 species
CCUACGGGGGGCAGCAGUGGGGAAUAUUGGACAAUGGGGGAAACCCUGAUCCAGCGACGCCGCGUGAGGGAAGAAGGUUUUCGGUAUGUAAAGCUCUGUCAGUGGGGAAGAAAAUGACGGUACCCGUGUAAGAAGCCACGGAUAACUACGUGCCAGCAGCCGCGGUAAUACGUAGGGGGCAAGCGUUAUCCGGAUUUACUGGGUGUAAAGGGAGCGCAGGCGGGAGCGCAAGUCAGCAGUGAAAAUCCUGGGCUCAACUCUCGAACUGCUGUUGAAACUGUUAUUCUAGAGUGAAGGAGGGGCAUGCGGAAUUCCUGGUGUAGCGGUGAAAUGCGUAGAUAUUAGGAGGAACACCAGUGGCGAAGGCGGCCUGCUGGGCAUUUACUGACGCUGAGGCUCGAAAGCGUGGGGAGCAAACAGGAUUAGAUACCCGUGUAGUC